rnacentral:rRNA from 1 species
CAUCGGAACGUGCCCUGUAGUGGGGGAUAGCUCGGCGAAAGCCGGAUUAAUACCGCAUAAGCUCUACGGAGGAAAGCGGGGGACCGCAAGGCCUCGUGCUAUAGGAGCGGCCGAUGGCAGAUUAGCUAGUUGGUGAGGUAAAGGCUCACCAAGGCGACGAUCUGUAGCUGGUCUGAGAGGACGACCAGCCACACUGGGACUGAGACACGGCCCAGACUCCUACGGGAGGCAGCAGUGGGGAAUUUUGGACAAUGGGCGAAAGCCUGAUCCAGCAAUGCCGCGUGUGUGAAGAAGGCCUUCGGGUUGUAAAGCACUUUUGUUCGGGAAGAAAGUAUUCGUGCUAAUACCAUGGAUAGAUGACGGUACCGGAAGAAUAAGCACCGGCUAACUACGUGCCAGCAGCCGCGGUAAUACGUAGGGUGCGAGCGUUAAUCGGAAUUACUGGGCGUAAAGCGUGCGCAGGCGGUUUUGUAAGACAGAUGUGAAAUCCCCGGGCUUAACCUGGGAACUGCAUUUGUGACUGCAAGGCUAGAGUAUGGCAGAGGGGGGUAGAAUUCCACGUGUAGCAGUGAAAUGC